AAAUGACUCAGGUGGUUGCAAGGCUUUUUUAUUAAGGAAAUAUAACUUCUACGACAUCAGAAGGCCGGCAAGGAUGAUAAAGCAAUUUUGAUGUCACGGUGUAGGUUUCAAACUUGAGUUAAAAUCGUGCACCUGGGCUUGUAUUCCAUCACUGCGCAGGACUGGUAAACUGAUUGAGCGACAUGAAGUGGGGGCGGGUGUUCAACCAUUUUCUCAGUCAAAAUUUUGUCUGAAUACCAGUCACCCGACCCACUGAUUACUGCCAAAUUCCAUUCUCAACAGGAAACUUUUAAAUUCUGUGUUGCUGGUACAAAUGGCACAAAUCCCAUUCUUAUUGUGAUCCAAAUUCUAUUUUUCCUGCGAGAAUAUAGGCUACACCCAUUUUAUUGACCCCUUCAUGCGCCAGCUUCAUUACUAAUACGUAUACAACGGAGCUGCCUUCUUAAUUAUUAUUAAAUGUAAUGAAUGUUUUCUUCGCUCAAACUAUCCCUUUAAUGGUGAAAAAAAUAUGUUUGAUCUUUAUUAUGUGAGUUUACUAAACAUGACCAUUUUUAUGAAAAAUGUUGAGCAUGCACUUCGGCUCCGCGCAUCCUAGUGCUUUUAAAUGACCGAUUACAUCAAGUAUUACAAUUGCUUGUAUUACAUACUCUGCCUAGACAAUUUAUCCUUACAACAUUGUGACGUACAUUAAUUUCCUAGCUAUGUUUAUCCAAAUCAACCCUGCAUGUUCCACGAUUUUCGGCUGCACAGCGUUGACCCUUUUCACGAAAUACAGCCAAGUCAAUAGUCAUAAUAACUAACAGUAUAAUCUAGGGUAAUAAUAUUAUAAUUACUUCAAAUUGUUUGUUGUUGUGGACUAAAUAUAAUUCUCUUAAAUAUAAUUCUCUGACCGUUCUAACACCAGUAGGUGUCCCUCGUGUCUUUCCGUUUCAGGAACCUCCUUAUGAAGCUGCAGGAGAUACACGUAGUAUUCAAAUACAUUAUAACGAUUAUAUAAGGAAUUAACCUGUACUUAUUUC